CUGCUGCCUUCCGUAGGGGUUUGGACCGUGUCUCAGUUCCAAUGUGGGGGACCUUCCUCUCAGAACCCCUACGCAUCGUCGGCUUGGUGGGCCGUUGCCCCACCAACUACCUAAUGCGCCGCAUGCCCAUCCAUGACCGGGGUCGCCCCCUUUGACCGGCAGGGGAUGUCCCCUCCCGGCAUUAUGUUGUAUUAGGCGGGAUUUCUCCCGGUUAUCCAUCUGUCACGGCCAGGUUGCAUACGUGUUACUCACCCGUGCGCCGGUCGCCGGCGG
rnacentral:rRNA from 1 species